rnacentral:rRNA from 1 species
CCUACGGGAGGCAGCAGUGGGGAAUAUUGCACAAUGGGGGAAACCCUGAUGCAGCGACGCCGCGUGAGUGAAGAAGUAUUUCGGUAUGUAAAGCUCUAUCAGCAGGGAAGAAAAUGACGGUACCUGAUUAAGAAGCCCCGGCUAACUACGUGCCAGCAGCCGCGGUAAUACGUAGGGGGCAAGCGUUAUCCGGAUUUACUGGGUGUAAAGGGAGCGUAGACGGCAGCACAAGUCUGGAGUGAAAUGCCGGGGCUUAACCCCGGAACUGCUUUGGAAACUGUGCAGCUAGAGUGCAGGAGAGGGAAGUGGAAUUCCUAGUGUAGCGGUGGAAUGCGUAGAUAUUAGGAGGAACACCAGUGGCGAAGGCGGCUUACUGGACUGUAACUGACGUUGAGGCUCGAAAGGGUGGGGAGCAAACAGGAUUAGAUACCCCUGUAGUC